UUUGAUUUAGUACGUUGGUCUAAUAACAGAUGCUAUCGAUCUAAUGAUGCUAAUACUGUGUGUGUGGCUGCCUGGAUAUCAUCUAAAAGUCCCCGUUUGUUAGGGGUAAUAUUUCGGAAGAAGAAAAAAGCCUGGAAUGUGCUUGCAAUACUCAUAGUGUUGGAGAAUUUCAAAGGGCACGCUUUAAUUUGCUUUUGUGUUCGCAGCUUUUUGUGUUGGGGGGGGGAUCUCUCUCGGGAUGAGAUCAAACGACUUUAGCUUUUUCUGCCUGGCUGGCUGGCUGGCUCGCUGACUGGCUGGCUCGCUGACUGGCUGGCUCUGCUCUGUUCUGUAUUCUGUGUUUCAUGCCAGCAGACUUUGUUCGGGCUUAUUUAGCCCAACAGAACCUGUGCAGGCAGGCUUUGUCCAUACAUUGUGCAUGUACAGUAUGGACUUUUUGAGGAAAUGGAGACAUACAGUAUGUUGUGCUAGUUUCACUUUAGAGACAUUUCAAAUCCUUAAGUACAAAUCUGAAUGGAGCUACAGACAAUGAUAUGUACUGAAACAGAAUAGCACAAGGGAAGGGCCAUAAUAUUUCCGAUUUACAUCAAAUGAAUAUUUAAGUGUUCCAUUGUGGAAAUCCACACCAUAUAUUCUUGAUUUGCCUUAGCCUACACCACAACUGAACCUUUGCUCUCCGUCUUUGAUUGUUUAAUUAAAGGCAGGGCAGAUGCAUGACCCAGUAAAUAAGGGGGUACAUAACUACCCAUGGAGUUAGGGAUAAGGGAUAACAACAGAGACAGGCCGAGAUUUCCUGUUGCCUCCAAAGACAUUCCAUUUUGUCUUCAGAUGCCCUGAGAGUUUAGAAACAAAUAUAGCAGCACAGAUGUGUGACACGCACAGCACUACACGUGGAACUGUCCUCUGACCUAGCUAGCCUCAGACCUCCUGACACCACUACAGUAGCACUCCUUUCAAUAAUACAACACGCUACCCUCCUCUUCCCAGUGAACAUGAAGUACUCCUUCCACUUCCUCUACUUAGCUAGAGUUCAUUCUCUCCCCAAGGCAUGGAAGCCCCCGGGCCA
rnacentral:lncRNA from 13 species